GCGGGGAUAGCUCAGUUGGGAGAGCGUCAGACUAGCGGGUUUAGCUCAGUCUGAAGGCCGCGUGUUCGAAUCACGCUCCUCGCA
rnacentral:tRNA from 1 species